GUAAGCUGUUUUCAGCAUUGUUGAUGUGCAAGCUGCUCUAGUUUUGUUCCAACGCAAUAUAGGUGUGUCAUGUUGAGAUGCAAUAUGACCUGCUGCUAUUGCCAGAGCAUUCUGGACUGUGGAUCAUGAACAGACAGAGCUAUUUAACGUCAGUUUCACUCCUGAAGAAAGCUUUCAUGGAUUUCAGGUUCCCUCCUGUCCUCUCUGUUUUCUUUUGCCAGUGA
rnacentral:lncRNA from 1 species